rnacentral:rRNA from 1 species
UUAGGGAACUUCUCCAAUGCGCGCAAGCGUGAGAGAGCAAAUCAGAGUGAUUUUGAUAUAAUUUCAAAAUCUUUUGCCGAAUGUAAAAAGUUCGGAGAAUAAGGACUGGGCAAGACUGGUGCCAGCCGCCGCGGUAAUCCCAGCGGUCCGAGUCGCAUCCACAAUUAUUGGGUCUAAAACAUUCGUAGCUUGUUUGUUAAGUUUCUUGUGAAAUCUUAAAUCUUAAAUUUAAGGCGUGCAAGAAAUACUGGCAAACUUGAGACCGGAAGAAGUAAAGAGUAUGGCCAAGGUAGUGGUAAAAUACGUUAAUCUUGGUUAGACUAACAACAGCGAAGGCACUUUACUAGUACGGAUCUGACAGUGAGGAAUGAAGGCUAGGGUCGCGAAAGGG